AAGACUUGGACGAAUGAUCUUUGCCGUAAGGAUUCAGAUGGCGACGGAAAGACGAACGGUGAAGAACUCGGUGAUCCGGAUUGUGAGUGGUCGCCCAAUAGUGUGCCCAAAGCUACCGUCAGCCUCUCCCAUCCCGGUGUUUGCGAACCACUGAAUGAUCCAAAAUGUGCGGGGAAAAACGACUUUUUACAAUGUGAUUCUACGCCAUCGUGCUAUAUGGAAGGAGAUACCGUUUUUCAAACAUUGACAUUUCCCAAUACAACUGUUCCUGCCGUGGAGACAAAUUAUUAUUGCAUGACCUUUGACCUUCACACAGAUGGUGAUUACCAUCUCAUCGCCACGAAACCCGUGAUAAAGAACUCUAACGUUGUCCAUCACAUGCUUCUGUAUGGCUGCGACGACAAUGUGAAUGCAACAGAUAAACCAGAGAAGUGUGGAAUGGCAAAAGAGAACUGUCGGCACCUUAUUGGAUUGUGGGCUGUGGGCCUUGACGGAGACUGUCUUCAUAAGGAUGCUGGAUUCAAAGUCGGAAUCAAUGGUUUCAAAAAAGCUACACUUGAGAUUCACUGGAACAAUCCUGAAAAAAGAGCGGACUAUACCGACGGAUCCGGAUUACACAUAUUUCUGACCAAAACCUUGAGGAAAUAUGAUGCCGGGGUGCUAAUGGUCGGACAGAAUUACAUCAACAUUCCUCCCCGAUCCCCCCAGGUCGUUGUCAAAGCCAACUGUUCUAGCAGCGACACCUCGCGUUUCAUUGUCAACGGACCAAUCUAUUUAACCAGCGCCUUAAAUCAUAUGCAUUACCUAGGACGAGAGAUGAAAAUGGAGCAUUAUCGGAACAACGAGAAACUGCGAGAUUUGACGGAUGAAGCUGAUUACAGUUACGACAGUCCGAAGUCGUUUCCAUUAACUCCCCCGGUUGAAUUCAGACCUGGAGACGAAAUAAUCACUACAUGCGUUUAUUCCUCAAUGGGCAAAAACAGAACGGUGAUGAAAGGUGAGGCAACUAGUGACGAAAUGUGUUACGGAUUUCUGACUUUUUACCCCAAAGAGAACUUAAAAAUGGAAAGAUGCACCCAGUGGCAAGACAUCAGUGAAUAUUCUAUUGCUAUGAGAGAUCCGCUCAUAAAGAAGUGCAAUAUGUGGAAAUUUGUCAGAGCGGAGGACCCGGAUACUGGAGCGUUUAUGGAAUCCGUUUUCGAUAAAUGUAACAUGCUUAUGGGCUGUAAACAAGAAUGCCUUGACUUUCUACCGGAAGCAAUGAAAAAUCCAUGUGUUAAUGGAAGUGUUGGGGCUUUUAUCCGGAGACUAGCUGUGCGGCGUAACAUGCCCACCCACUUCGCCAUGUUUACAGCUUUAGAUUCGUGCAACGCGGAAAUUGUAAAGGACACGUGCAAAGCAGACUGCCUGAAGAGUUGCAGAGAAAUCAGCGGUGCCAUAUCGAUCAAAACAUCUACAUCUUUUGUUACCUAUACAUACCUGUAUUUUGUUGGUAUCAUGUUGUUAAUAAUGUAUCACUGAACAAUAACACGUACCUUGCUUGCUUUGCUUACAGUAACAGUUUGAAUGCAAAGAAAUAUAUGAUGAUUAAUUUAGUAGCAUACUCACUCAGAACUGCGCAUGUAGAAAUUUACAUUAACAAGGUAUUUUCCCCUAAUUUUUAAAAAAGAAAUCUGAUCGUGUUCUGAACUUUACGAUCAAACAAGUUUUUAUCAAUUUAUACGCAUUUUUUAAAAACUUUGUUAAUCAUGGUUUCAAAUGCUUUAUUUAGUAAUGUUUAUUUCAUUACCCUAUAAGUGUACUCAAAUACCUAUAAUGAAUGAUGUUUACGUU
rnacentral:misc_RNA from 1 species